CAGUCGCCGCGGGAACACGAAGGGGGCUAGCGUUGUUCGGAUUUACUGGGCGUAAAGGGCGCGUAGGCGGACUGAUAAGUCAGGGGUGAAAUCCCAAGGCUCAACCUUGGAACUGCCUUUGAUACUGUUUGUCUUGAGCUCGAGAGAGGUAAGUGGAACUGCGAGUGUAGAGGUGAAAUUCGUAGAUAUUCGCAAGAACACCAGUGGCGAAGGCGGCUUACUGGCUCGAAACUGACGCUGAGGCGCGAAAGCGUGGGGAGCAAACAGGAUUAGAUACCCGAGUAGUCCCUGUCUCUUAUAC
rnacentral:rRNA from 1 species